rnacentral:rRNA from 1 species
GGGUGUUAAUGUGCGCGCCAUCAUUUCGUCGGAUUGUCGCCGGCGUCGGCCGCAAGGCUGCGUCGCGCGUUUCCGACAAGUUUACCUUAAAUAAAUUAAAAUGCUCAAAAUAGGCGUCAGCCUGAAUAUCAUAUUAUGGAAUAAUGAAAUAGGACUUCGGUUCAUUUUGUUGGUUAUUGAAUCGUGGUAAUGAUUAAUAGGGAUAAUCUCGGGGGCAUUCGUAUUUCUGCGGGAGAGGUGAAAUUCUAUGAUCGCAGAAGGACGCCCUAAAGCGAAAGCAUUUGCCAAGAAUGUCUUCGUUAAUCAAGAACGAAAGUCAGAGGAUCGAAGGCGAUUAGAUACCGCCCUAGUUCUGACCGUAAACGAUACCAUCUAGCGAUCCGAUAGGGUCAUCUAACCUUGUCGGGGAGCUUCCCGGAAACGAAAGUCUUUCGGUUCCGGGGGUAGUAUGGUUGCAAAGCUGAAACUUAAAGAAAUUGACGGAAGGGCACCACCAGGAGUGGAGCUUGCGGCUUAAUUUGACUCAACACGGGAAAACUCACCCGGUCCGGACACCGUAAGGAUUGACAGACUGAAAGCUCUUUCUUGAUUCGGUGGUUGGUGGUGCAUGGCCGUUCUUAGUUGGUGGAGUAAUUUGUCUGGUUUAUUCCGAUAACGAGCGAGACUCUAGCCUGCUAAAUAGAACACGGAUAACUAAUUCCAUAGGUCCGUGAUGCUUCUUAGAGGAAUUAGCGG